rnacentral:rRNA from 1 species
GACGAACGCUGGCGGCGUGCUUAACACAUGCAAGUCGAACGGAAAGGCCCUGCUUUUGUGGGGUGCUCGAGUGGCGAACGGGUGAGUAACACGUGAGUAACCUGCCCUUGACUUUGGGAUAACUUCAGGAAACUGGGGCUAAUACCGGAUAGGAGCUCCUGCUGCAUGGUGGGGGUUGGAAAGUUUCGGCGGUUGGGGAUGGACUCGCGGCUUAUCAGCUGGUUGGUGGGGUAGUGGCUUACCAAGGCUUUGACGGGUAGCCGGCCUGGGAGGGUGAACGGCCACAUUGGUACUGAGAGACGGCCCAGACUCCUACGGGAGGCAGCAGUGGGGAAUAUUGCACAAUGGGCGGAAGCCUGAUGCAGCAACGCCGCGUGCGGGAUGACGGCCUUCGGGUUGUAAACCGCUUUCGCCUGUGACGAAGCGUGAGUGACGGUAAUGGGUAAAGAAGCACCGGCUAACUACGUG